rnacentral:lncRNA from 1 species
CUCAUACCUGUACAGAUAGAAUAUAAAAAUGGAGAAAACUGGAGAGAUUCACUCACUUUUGCCCUCAAGAACCUAGACCUACAAAAUCCCACGUGGGCCUCAGAGAAGCAUACCUGUCAACAGUGGGACACUGGAAAGUGGUGAAAUGAAACAAACUGGAGGUGGCAGGGAUUAGGGGUUCUGGAAACCCAGCGGGGCAGGGCAGUAGCUCCUAAAGCACAAGAACCAGGCCAAAGGCCAGACCCAGCUCAUUUUCUCUGAAUCACCUCUGUAAAAGCCCCCUGUUCCUGCUGAUGGGCAGAAUCACAACCUUUGGGAGUUCCCUGUGUUUCUUCUUUGCUAGCAAAGCAAUAAACCUUCUUUUCCUUUUUCUCAAAACCAUGUCCUCAUUAUUGGAUAGGCAUUGGGGACAAGGACCCAGCUUUUGGCAACACAAUCAUAGACACUCUGCUGUUAUUUGUGACUGGUAGGUAAUCUAAGGAAGUGAAAUUCACAUAAGUAGGAAGUUUACAAAAAUUGGUCCAACAUUACCAAGGAAAUCUCUCAGUGAAAUGAUGACCUAGUCAUGAGGGGCAAUCAAGAAUAACAAACUGAGUUAUUUAGAGCUGGAAUAAGAGCCUGCUUCAGGGAAGGGGGUGAAUGAAAGCAUCAUUGGCAGUUACCCUAGGAAGAGGGGUGGGGAAUAUAUACAUAUAAUCCUAA